rnacentral:rRNA from 1 species
UAAGGAAUAUUGGUCAAUGGACGCAAGUCUGAACCAGCCAUGCCGCGUGAAGGAUGAAGGUCCUCUGGAUUGUACACUUCUUUUAUCUGGGACGAAAACGGGAUUUUUAUCUCAAUUGACGGUACCAGAGGAAUAAGCACCGGCUAACUCCGUGCCAGCAGCCGCGGUAAUACGGAGGGUGCGAGCGUUAUCCGGAUUUACUGGAUUUAAAGGGUGCGUAGGUGGGCUUAUAAGUCAGUGGUGAAAUCUCCGAGCUUAACUUGGAAACUGCCGUUGAUACUAUAGGUCUUGAAUUAUAUGGAGGUAAGCGGAAUAUGUCAUGUAGCGGUGAAAUGCUUAGAUAUGACAUAGAACACCAAUUGCGAAGGCAGCUUACUACAUAUAAAUUGACGCUGAGGCACGAAAGCGUGGGGAUCAAACA